rnacentral:rRNA from 1 species
GGAGGGCAAGUCUGGUGCCAGCAGCCGCGGUAAUUCCAGCUCCAAUAGCGUAUAUUAAAGUUGUUGCGGUUAAAACGCUCGUAGUUGGAUCUGCGGCCUUGAAGGACGGUCUCCCGAAAGGGUAGUCACUGUCUCUUCUAGCCUAAAUUCGAGUUGUCUCUAUGUGCUCUUUAUUGAGUGCUUAGAGCGACUAGAACGUUUACUUUGAAAAAAUUAGAGUGUUUAAAGCAGGC